CGCAUGGUGCAGGGGUAAAAACUCCGGUGGUAUGAAAUGGACCCGCGUCUGAUUAGGUGGUUGGUGGGGUAACGGCCUACCAAGCCGACGAUCAGUAGCCGACCUGAGAGGGUGACCGGCCACAUUGGGACUGAGACACGGCCCAAACUCCUACGGGAGGCAGCAGUGGGGAAUAUCGCACAAUGGGGGAAACCCUGAUGCAGCGACGCCGCGUGAGCGAUGAAGUAUUUCGGUAUGUAAAGCUCUAUCAGCAGGGAAGAAAAUGACGGUACCUGACUAAGAAGCACCGGCUAAAUACGUGCCAGCAGCCGCGGUAAUACGUAUGGUGCAAGCGUUAUCCGGAUUUACUGGGUGUAAAGGGAGCGUAGACGGAGUGGCAAGUCUGAUGUGAAAACCCGGGGCUCAACCCCGGGACUGCAUUGGAAACUGUCAAUCUAGAGUACCGGAGAGGUAAGCGGAAUUCCUAGUGUAGCGGUGAAAUGCGUAGAUAUUAGGAGGAACACCAGUGGCGAAGGCGGCUUACUGGACGGUAACUGACGUUGAGGCUCGAAAGCGUGGGGAGCAAACAGGAUUAGAUACCCUGGUAGUCCACGCCGUAAACGAUGACUACUAGGUGUCGGGCAGCAAAGCUGUUCGGUGCCGCAGCAAACGCAAUAAGUAGUCCACCUGGGGAGUACGUUCGCAAGAAUGAAACUCAAAGGAAUUGACGGGGACCCGCACAAGCGGUGGAGCAUGUGGUUUAAUUUCGAAGCAACGCGAAGAACCUUACCUGCUCUUGACAUCUCCCUGACCGGCAAGUAAUGUUGCCUUUCCUUCGGGACAGGGAUGACAGGUGGUGCAUGGUUGUCGUCAGCUCGUGUCGUGAGAUGUUGGGUUAAGUCCCGCAACGAGCGCAACCCCUAUCUUUAGUAGCCAGCGGAUUGGCCGGGCACUCUAGAGAGACUGCCAGGGAUAACCUGGAGGAAGGUGGGGAUGACGUCAAAUCAUCAUGCCCCUUAUGAGCAGGGCUACACACGUGCUACAAUGGCGUAAACAAAGGGAGGCAGAACCGCGAGGUCGAGCAAAUCCCAAAAAUAACGUCUCAGUUCGGAUUGUAGUCUGCAACUCGACUACAUGAAGCUGGAAUCGCUAGUAAUCGCGAAUCAGAAUGUCGCGGUGAAUACGUUCCCGGGUCUUGUACACACCGCCCGUCACACCAUGGGAGUCAGUAUCGCCCGAAGUCAGUGACCCAACCGUAAGGAGGGAGCUGCCGAAGGUGGGACCGAUAACUGGGGUGAAGUCGUAACAAGGUA
rnacentral:rRNA from 1 species